UACUAAAGAGCUGGAAAUACUCUUCUGGUCACCUGUUUUUAUUGGACAUAGUGGUAAGCCUUACCAAGAGGUGCAGUACUCGGCCUACAGAGCUACUUUGCCAAACCAGAGAGUUUGUCCCUAAUCCAGUUGUCUUGAAGAAAGCCAGGCAUCAAGAGUAGUCCCAUAGUGGCAGUGGAGCACUGUGGAAAUAAAAGACGAGAUAUGCCAAGGAUGAAGCAUGUUCUGCAAGGGAUGAACCCAUGCCCCUCACCCCCAAAUAUGACCAAGGUUGAUCCUGUGGUGGCUGGGACCUCAGUUAUUUUGCUUCUGCCCAUGGGAUCCCGCUUCAAUUGCAGCUGUUUGAAUUAACAUGUUUCCUUGCUGCAUCUCCUGGCUGAGGGAAGUGCAAGUGCUGUCAUGGCCAGCAGAACAGAGCAAGAGCUGUAAGAGCAGUGUGGUGGAAGUAUUGGUCUUCUGUGGCCAGCCGGUGAGAACCCAUCAACAGCUGUGAUGAGCAGAGCAGACACGGGAGACAGGAGGCAGCUGAAGCCAAAGAGGACCCACGCCUGGAGCUGUGUCUGUGUGAUUGGAGCAGAGAGAGGCCAGGACCCAAGGAAAUCCCAGCAGCAAGGGAAAAAAACAGAUUGACUCUCAGUGACUCAUUUAGCUCCUGGAUUGGACAGAUCUCUCCCCUGCUGGCAAUUUGGCUGAGCAUCAAUGGACAGAUACCAGGAUGAAUAGCUUAAAAUAAUUAGGGGUUGGGAAUUUGCAAAACUGCUAGCCAUCCAAUUCUUUACUGUGCAAUGCGAGGCAGAAAAAAGAAAUUACAUUUAGGUUAUUAAAUAUUAAGUCAGUGGAUUUACUCCCAUUUGGUGCAGAACAGGAAACUGGCUAAAAUUCAACAUUUAUAUCAUUGUGUUGAUGGUCUGUUUAUCACUGAGCAAGUAAGUGCCUUUUGGCAGGUCAAGCUCUUUGACACAUGGGGCAAAUGUGUGCUUAAUUUCUCCCAAACAGAAGUAUUAAUAUAAUAAUAAUAAUUAACACAAAUGAGAACAGAAUUAAAAUCAAGUACAGUCAGGAGUUCAGUUUAAUGCCAGGUGUCUCGCAUUCUAGAUGUUCUGUGACCAGAUUUUUCCUGUUGAAGGUAGCAAGGGUGUUGCCUUUGGCACUUAUGGGAUCUGAAGUAGGCCUUGGAUGUAAAGAGACUGUACUUUCUAUUCAGUGCACAAAACCAGAAGCAACAGGCUCAUUUAGUAUCAGUAAAGGUCAGUUAAAAUUAUAGAGACAUCCUUUGGAGCAAAUCCUCUGCCUUGUAUUUGCAUAUUUAUGAAUUAGAGAUUACGACAGGCUAUUUCAUUUAUUAGAGCAGCACUGCUAUAGUUAAUAGUCUGUCAGUACUUCCAUUAUAAACCCUGGUUUUCAGUGUUUAAUAUCUCAGCCAUUUAAAAUCACAUCAGGAAGCAAGUUGGUCUUAUGUUGCUGGCCAGGUGCAAUUUUUUGUUAUGGACUAUUUUCAAUAAUGAAAUACUGCUCAUGAUAUAUGCAGAGGAGCCAUUGAAUUUCUGUUGGAGGGACACAGCAAGGUGUGUAGAUUCAUUGUGGCUUUGUUUUUCUUUAGGAAAGAAGGGAAAAGAGGGAUUUGACCAAUCAUGUAAACUGUGGCCUUAUGUUUGAAGAACAGCUUUUCAAGCAACUGCUCUCAGAGGAAACACUGGUUCUCAGUGGGAAAUCAGGUUGCUGUUUGCUUGCCAGUGGUGACCAAGGUAAACAGGUGAGGAUGGUUACCCUGUCCCUCUGAUAUUUCUUGUCUACCAAUCAUGGAUGAAGCACCUUAGGCAAGAAAGCAGUGAACAUAAAAGAAGAGCCUUCAGAAAUAACAGGAGUCCCAAUUACAAAUUCAGAAAUCUGGCCUCUUUUUAAGUGUCUGCCAGCAGCAAAGUGCAGUAGUGUCCUGACUUUAUUGCUGAGAUUUGGGGUAGAGGGUUGCUAAGACUUAAGGGGCAGUUGUGAAGCACUUUGCAUGUGUCCUAAACUGAACAGUGUCAUUUAUUUCAGGAGUCUCACAUCACUCUCCUUCCAAACAGCCCCACUUGGCUUUCAUAGAAGUGUUACUUCACUGAAAAGUAACUGCCUGGCAAGGGCAAAUGUUCAGACUAAAAUACCAAUUUUUAACUUGCUAGGGCAGCAAAAUUUACUCUUCAGAGUAGCUGAAAGAAGCUGCUCUUACACUAUAACCUUUUGCCCUGUGAAAAGAGAAACAGUCCAAACAUAAGCUCCUAGGGAGUGGUUUGUUUUCAAGGUCUUGAAAAUCAUUUGCUGCCUCUAGAACUGACAAGUUAGAAAUCAAAUUCAUGAAGAGAAAAAAAUAAUGAAGCUAUGUGCAAAAUAUCUUUAGCUCUUUUGCCUCACAAACAUAGUUGGAGGUGGGAACAUAGUCCAUAUUUUCCAUCUUUCUCGCCAUAAAGGUCUAAGUGCACAACUGAGGGUUCCAGGGAAUCUAGCAAUGGCAGGCCAGAAGCACUCUGAAACAUAAUCAAUCCACUUGGUGCAUUGCAGCUGAUCAAACUAUGCCCUAAGCAAGGCCCAGGGCUUGGCCUCUGUGUCACCUUCUGUACAUUUUGACUGAAUUAAGAUUAACAACAAGUUUAGAAGUUACAUUACACAAACAUUUUUUAAGCACAUGUAAGACAAGGUUGCAACAAAAGGUCUCUGAUCUUAAAUCCCCUAAAUCCAAAUGGUGAGCCAUACUUUUCAUCCAGUCUCUCAUCAGCAUCAUGAGAACCAAGAGACCAGAUCAAGACACUCCACUCAGGCUUAUGGAAAAUCUGUUCCAGAUCCAAGUGGCAAGGGCUAAUCAGUAGUGCUUUCUUAAAACAACAGUAUUUGGGUUUUUUCGUAACUAAUUGCUAACUAAAAGUGCAUUUUCCAGACUCCUUCCAGAGUUGCCAUUGUAAAGAACAAUCUUCUUUCCCUAGGCACAUCACAGUGCCUUUUCAGCCAAAAAUUAUCUUUGGUCAUGAUAAGUGAUAAUAACUCAGAAGGAGGCAGACUACAGAAAUUCUAAUUAUUUUGAAUACAAAAUUACUUCAACAGUUUUUUAAAAAAGGUAUAACCCAAAGUAAGGAGGGAGGGGGUUUUUGCCAAACAUGUAGACAAUGUCAUACAUUUUAAAAUAAAGUACUACAUGCUCUUUGCUGGAAACUCUGUCCAGGCUCAGUAAGUUAUCUGAACAGCAUUGUUUACUAGAUAUAUUUAUUAUUCUUUGUCUUAAUUUGCAGUGACAUAAAAUCUUGCACAACUGACUUGAGUACAUCUUUGAAUGCUAAAAAUACUAAUCAUUAUGUAAUUAGUCAACAGGAUGUGUGUAAUUGUGUAAUACCAGCAUUCCUGGGUGUGGUUAAGUACAUAGGUAGAAUGCCAACAGUCAUCUAGAUGUAGUAGUAUAAAAUUACACAAAACAUACACCCUGGGUGGAUACUCUAAUUAUAUUUUACAUUUAUACAAUAGCUACAUUAGCAAAAUGGAACUUAUUAUUUUUAAAAAUAAUAUCUUCCCACAGGCAUGGAUCAUAGUAGGUGAUGGUAAUAAUAUUGCCCAAAUAGAGUAUCUUCUAUCUCCCAAGGGACUCAGUCGUCUUCAUAAACAUACAAAUAGGAGACAGAAACCAGGCAUAAAGAGCCCUUCAUUCACUCAUGGCGUAAAACCACCCCAAAACACAUGACAAUUGCUGAGUCAUGCACUGGAAUAAUUGAAGGCAGAGAACCAACAGGAAGGAAUUUCUAUCUCAUGAGAAUCACAUGAGAUUAACCAGAAAUGUGACUAGAACUGUUAUAUUUUUAUGACUUACCAGACAUCAGGACAAUCCUUAAACCAUGGUGAAAACAGAUCCACACAGUGAGUCAGAUUCUUCUUUGAAUUUAGCCAGGAAGAUCUAUGCCAUCAAAUGUCUUGAGCAUUUGAGUUAAUUCUGAUCUCUGCUAAGAUUUACUGUGAAUGUGGUGUGAAAAUCUGCUGCCCUCCCAGCCAAAACCUCCCUGCUUGGUCAUCCCUCGUUCUUCCUGGGGUACAGCGGCAGUGACUGACAGGUAUGCAUGUCACUGGGGCCAGCACUACAGAUGGUAACUUAUGCAGUAUAAACAGAAAACAUGGCACACCAGUAUUUACUCUCUUUUGAUAUGGUUUCAAAAUAGAGAAAUCCAGAAGAAUGGAAAGGUGAAAAUUCCAACACAAAAAAAAAAACCAAAAAAACCCCAAAAAAAAACCCCAAAGAACCCUGUGCUGUGACUCAUCAUUAAGGUAAAAUGUCAGAGCCUAAAGCUCUGCGUUUUUCAUGUGCCUGGGUGCAGAAGGGUGAGGUGCCCUCUGAGGAUGAUUUUAUCUUUUGCUUUUGAGUCUGAAGAUCUUGGAUGUGGUUUGGCAAGUUCAUAAAAAUACUGUGAUGAAGUUGAGUUGCCAUCUGGAAAUGAUACAUACAGAGAUGUAAGAAAGCUUGAGGAGAAAACUGCAGAUGCUGGAAGAAGAAUCAGUGGUGCACAUGAAUGAGGUUAAAAAUUGCAGACAAUUAGCUACAAGAUGACUCCUACUAAAUAAAUCAUCAAAGACUUGACUACUGCUUCCAGGUUUCUACUGCAAUAUUAGCUCAUUGGAACAGUCAAAAAGAUGUUAAUUUGGCCAAAGUUUUAGAAAUGUGCUAUUCUUGUUUGAAUUAACAAAUCAACAAACAAGGCCAAUCUCUACUGUCUUGCCAAGGCUAUAAAGCUUCUAGGGAAACUAUUGUAUUUAAUGCUCAGGAUCAAGGGCCCCAUGAUAUGCAAAAUAAGCCUCUUUGUGUUAAAUGAAAGCUGCACAGGAAAGAAAACCUGAGCUUGUCAUGGAAUUUCACAUCUCGUUUCAGCAUUCAAUAAAGUGCUUUGGAUGU
rnacentral:lncRNA from 1 species